AUACGGAGGAUCCGAGCGUUAUCCGGAUUUAUUGGGUUUAAAGGGUGCGCAGGCGGCCAUUUAAGUCAGCGGUUAAAUCGUGGGGCUCAACCCCAUUCUGCCGUUGAUACUGGGUGGCUUGAUUGCGGUCGAGGUUGGCGGAAUUCGUUGUGUAGCGGUGAAAUGCAUAGAUAUGACGAAGAGCACCGAUUGCGUAGGCAGCUGACCAGAACGCAAAUGACGCUCAUGCACGAAAGUGCGGGGAUCGAACAGGAUUAGAUACCCUGGUAGUCCGCACAGUAAACGAUGAAUACUUGUUUUCGGCGAUAUAAUGUCGGAGGCAAAGCGAAAGCGAUAAGUAUUCCACCUGGGGAGUACGCCGGCAACGGUGAAACUCAAAGGAAUUGGCGGG
rnacentral:rRNA from 1 species